UACAGAUGUGGAACAUAAUAUUUGUGUAUACGAGUUUCUGCUGUCCACCCUGAUGAGAGCUGGUUCGUGACAUGGUGAUAAUUUCAUGCUUGCUCUUCAUUUGAUUGGUGUGACAUCAUGAUAUAUUUUGCUCCAGUUAUUGUUUUUGUUGUGUUGCUGUACUGUGCGCAUAUACAGCAUUGCACUCCAUCUAGUUAUAUAGUCAUGAAAAUUGUUUGUAUUUCAGUACACUCCAAUGGUAAUGGUACAAGCUCACUUUUUACUAUGUAGGUUUGCUUUAUUUUGCUUUUACAUGCUGCCCAUUCUAAGUUUUAGGUCUUUAGAUAAAUGUAUGCAAGUUUUAAUCAGUGGAUUUGUUCUCAAGUGUAGAUUUUGAUAGCAAAAUUUGUCUGGGUGAUGAGAUGUGUUAAUUUGCGCAGUUUGUUGUUGAAAACAUGCCUGAAUGGAGAUCUUCAUCUGCAAAUAUUUGCUUCUAUGAUCACUGUGAUCCUACAAAUAGGCUAUGUGACCCCCUGACGGAGCUUCAUGUGAGCUGAGAACAUGCAAGUUUGCAUUAGUUUUCCGUGAUAACGAGGAGGAAGCUGAACACAGAGAAGGAGUCCGUCUAAUUUCUGUGCUGAGCUGCUGUAUUCGGAUUCUAAAGGGUGUAGCGGUUGGAGGCAUAUUCUUGAUGUUCUAGAGGCGUAUGCCAAUCGGGGGCUUCUGCGUUCAAAUAUAAUGUCGCUUCCACUCACUUCAGCUUAACGACGUAACACCUUGACACAGACGCCAGCAGUCCGCUGGAUACGUCGAACUAUUGCCCUGCCCUGUCGAGGCAUGUAAUGUUUCUCGGAUCAAACGGACGAACAGAAGAGAUGCUAGGAAGCGGACGUGUGUUUGUGUGAAAUGAACAAACGAAGAACAGAGCUGGAUGAUCACGUAUAGUACACUGCCAUUCCAUGGUUGUAGUCACGUACGUAUAGUUCUUUUCACGUAUAGUUGUAUUCCAAAUCUCACUGCCCUGAUGUGGAUAUAGAACCAAAUCUCAUGUUGGUCC